rnacentral:lncRNA from 1 species
UGAUGAUUUACAUUGAUGUUUCUUCUCCCAUGGAUCAUGCUGCCCUGCAUGUUUUCCAAGUGUUGCAAAUUUGGUUCGGUUCAAAUUCUUUUAUAGAUGCGAUACACAUUGUCGAAAUCAAAAAAAGUACAAAACAGAGUAUCAUAGAACAAGCAAGCACCCAGAAUUCUUGUUGCAGAUCAAACUGGUUUAGUGUUUCAGGAGUAUAGUAAUACAAGUUUCAUUAUUAGGUCAAACAAAGCAUCUAGUUAUGUUAUGUACAUAAAGACCCAAAAUAGAGCAUCUAGUCAGUAUAAUUGCAACA